GCCUACGGGGCGCAGCAGUGGGGAAUAUUGCACAAUGGGGGAAACCCUGAUGCAGCGACGCCGCGUGAGUGAAAAAGUAUUUCGGUAUGUAAAGCUCUAUCAGCAGGGAAGAAAAUGACGGUACCUGACUAAGAAGCCCCGGCUAACUACGUGCAAGCAGCCGCGGUAAUACGUAGGGGGCAAGCGUUAUCCGGAUUUACUGGGUGUAAAGGGAGCGUAGACGGCAUGGCAAGUCAGAUGUGAAAGCCCGGGGCUCAACCCCGGGACUGCAUUUGAAACUGCCAGGCUGGAGUGCGGGAGUGGUA
rnacentral:rRNA from 1 species